GAUGAACGCUGGCGGCGCGCCUAACACAUGCAAGUCGAACGAUUAAAGCACCUUCGGGUGUGUAUAAAGUGGCGAACGGCUGAGUAACACGUGGGCAACCUGCCCCUUUCAUUGGGAUAGCCGCGGGAAACCGUGGAUAAUACCGAAUACUUCGAGACUUCCGCAUGGAAGACUCGAGAAAGCUCCGGCGGAGAGGGAUGGGCCCGCGGCCUGUUAGCUUGUUGGUGGGGUAACGGCCUACCAAGGCAAUGAUGGGUAGCUGGGUUGAGAGACCGACCAGCCAGAUUGGGACUGAGACACGGCCCAGACUCCUACGGGAGGCAGCAGUGGGGAAUCUUGCACAAUGGGCGAAAGCCUGAUGCAGCGACGCCGCGUGCGGGAUGAAGGCCUUCGGGUUGUAAACCGCUUUCAGCAGGGACGAGGCGAAAGUGACGGUACCUGCAGAAGAAGCCCCGGCUAACUACGU
rnacentral:rRNA from 1 species